rnacentral:misc_RNA from 1 species
GACUUCAACAUGUUCCCACUCUGUGCAGACUCACAAUGGACAGUUGCCCUAAUUUGAUGCCUUCACAGGAGUGGAUGGAAAGCCUACCCACAUUACAAGCUUUCUAGAUUGUAGAAUGUCCUCAGCUGUUAUAAAGAUGCAAAAACAACAUGGGUGCUAAUUGGCCCAAGAUUGCUCACUUCCCAUAUAAUAGAAUUGAUGGAAGAUGGAUUCAGGAGGACGGUUGUUACAAAAUUAUAAUCAAAAGAACCAGACUUUCCUUCGUUUGAUGAUGAUUCUGUCUUGUUGAAAGAAGCCAGAGAAACAAUUGUGGAUUUGCCUCUCAUGUGCCAGCAAGUGCUAUUUUAUUACUGACUGCAGCACGAAAAUUAAGGACUCAUUACCUAUUUAAUGGCAACUGAUCAUCUAACUUAUCUGC